UGGCUCAGAGGUUUAAGCGUCUGCCUGGAAUGCAGGAGACCCGGGUUUGAUCCCUGG
rnacentral:tRNA from 1 species